UGCCAGACUCCUACGGGAGGCAGCAGUGAGGAAUAUUGGUCAAUGGGCUUACGCCUGAACCAGCCAAGUCGCGUGAGGGAAGACUGCCCUAUGGGUUGUAAACCUCUUUUGCCGGGGAGCAACGGGGUCCUUGCGAGGGCCCGAUGAGAGUACCCGGAGAAAAAGCAUCGGCUAACUCCGUGCCAGCAGCCGCGGUAAUACGGAGGAUGCGAGCGUUAUCCGGAUUUAUUGGGUUUAAAGGGUGCGUAGGCGGGCUGUUAAGUCAGCGGUCAAAUGUCGGGGCUCAACCCCGGCCUGCCGUUGAAACUGGCGGCCUCGAGUGGGCGAGAAGUAUGCGGAAUGCGUGGUGUAGCGGUGAAAUGCAUAGAUAUCACGCAGAACUCCGAUUGCGAAGGCAGCAUACCGGCGCCCUACUGACGCUGAGGCACGAAAGCGUGGGUAUCGAACAGGAUUAGAUACCCUAGUA
rnacentral:rRNA from 1 species